GCAUCGGUGGUUCAGUGGUAGAAUUCUCGCCUGCCACGCGGGCGGCCAGGGUUCGAUUCCCGGCCGAUGCA
rnacentral:tRNA from 1 species